rnacentral:rRNA from 11 species
GAGCGAGCUGUGAUCCGGGGGUGUCCGAAUGGGGAAACCCAGCACGAGUCAUGUCGUGUUACCCGCACCUGAACACAUAGGGUGUGUGGAGGGAACGUCGGGAAGUGAAACAUCUCAGUACCGACAGGAAGAGAAAACAACAGUGAUUCCGAGAGUAGUGGCGAGCGAAAUCGGAAGAGGCUAAACCUUGCGUGUGUGAUACCCGGCAGGGGUUGCACGCAGGGGGUCGUGGGACCGCUCGAU